CCUACGGGAGGCAGCAGUGAGGAAUAUUGGUCAAUGGGCGGAAGCCUGAACCAGCCAAGCCGCGUGAGGGACGAAGGUACAGCGUAUCGUAAACUUCUUUUGUCAGGGAACAAAUGCGGGCACGAGACCCUGGAUGAGGGUACCUGAAGAAAAAGCAUCGGCUAACUCCGUGCCAGCAGCCGCGGUAAUACGGAGGAUGCGAGCGUUAUCCGGGUUUAUUGGGUUUAAAGGGUGCGCAGGGGGACUGUUAAGUCAGCGGUAAAAGCCCGGGGCUAAACCCCGGCGAGCCGUUGAAACUGGCGGUCUGGAGUUGGAGAGAGGUACGCGGAAUGCGCGGUGUAGCGGUGAAAUGCGUAGAUAUCGCGCAGAACCCCGAUUGCGAAGGCAGCAUACCGGCUGCAAACUGACGCUGAGGCACGAAAGCGUGGGUAUCGAACAGGAUUAGAUACCCCUGUAGUC
rnacentral:rRNA from 1 species